rnacentral:rRNA from 1 species
UACGUAGGGGGCAAGCGUUGUCCGGAUUUAUUGGGCGUAAAGAGCGUGUAGGCGGCCGUACAGGUCAGCUGUGAAAACUCGAGGCUCAACCUCGAGACGUCGGUUGAAACCGUACGGCUAGAGUCCGGAAGAGGAGAGUGGAAUUCCCGGUGUAGCGGUGAAAUGCGCAGAUAUCGGGAAGAACACCCGUGGCGAAGGCGGCUCACUGGGGGUUUUCUGACGCUGAGGAACGAAAGCCAGGGUAGCGAACGGG